AGACAGUGUCUCACUAUUGCCUAUGCUGGAGUGCAGUGGCACGAUCAUGGCUCACUGCAGCCUCAAAUUCCUGGGCUCAAGCGAUCCUCCUGCCUCAGCCUCCCGCCUCAGCCUCCUCCCUCAGUCUUCUGAGUAGCUGGGCCUACAGUGGCUUCUAGAAGAGUGAGUCUGGAAAAUACUGCCCCUACUUUCAAAUGGGAGAAAGCCUCCCUUGUACUAAGUUUGCAAUCAUUAGAAAACUGUUGAUAUACAGCAAAAGAAACUACCAUCAGAGUGAACAGGCAACCUACAGAAUGGGAGAAAAUUUUUGCAAUCUACUCAUCUGACAAAGGGCUAAUAGCCAGAAUCUACAAAGAACUCAAACAAAUUUACAAGAAAAAACAAACAACCCCAUCAAAAAGUGGGCAAAGGAUAUGAACAGACACUUCUCAAAAGAAGACAUUUAUGCAGCCAACAGACACAUGAAAAAAUGCUCAUCAUCACUGGCCAUCAGAGAAAUGCAAAUCAAAAUCACAAUGAGAUACCAUCUCACACCAGUUAGAAAGGCAGUCAUUAAAAAGUCAGGAAACAACAGGUGCUGGAGAGGAUGUGGAGAAAUAGGAACACUUUUACACUAUUAGUGGGACUGUAAACUGGUUCAACCAUUGUGGAAGACAGUGUGGCGAUUCCUCAAGGAUCCAGAACUAGAAAUACCAUUUGACCCAGCCAUCCCAUUACUGGGUAUAUACCCAAAGGAUUAUAAAUCAUGCUGCUAUAAAGACACAUGCACACGUAUGUUUAUUGUGGCACUAUUCACAAUAGCAAAGACUUGGAACCAACCCAAAUGUCCAUCAGUGAUAGACUAGAUUAAGAA
rnacentral:lncRNA from 1 species